GAUCAUGGCUCAGGAUGAACGCUAGCUACAGGCUUGACACAUGCAAGUCGAGGGGCAUCAGGAAGAAAGCUUGCUUUCUUUGCUGGCGACCGGCGCACGGGUGAGUAACACGUAUCCAACCUGCCCUUUACUCGGGGAUAGCCUUUCGAGAGAAAGAUUAAUACCCGAUGGCAUAAUGAUUCCGCAUGGUUUCAUUAUUAAAGGAUUCCGGUAAAGGAUGGGGAUGCGUUCCAUUAGGUUG
rnacentral:rRNA from 1 species